rnacentral:rRNA from 1 species
AGAGUUUGAUCCUGGCUCAGGACGAACGCUGGCGGCGUGCCUAACACAUGCAAGUCUGGGAGACCCGGGUAGCAAUAUUCGGGAAAACGGCGCAAGGGUGAGUAACACGUGGGCAAUUUUCCUUUAGGACGGGAAUAACUCAGAGAAAUCUGGGCUAAUACCCGAUGAUGCAGCGGCACCGCAUGGUGAUGUUGUUAAAAGCCCCAAAAGGGUGCCUAAAGAUAAGCCUGCGUCCCAUCAGGUAGUUGGUAGGGUUACGGCCUACCAAGCCUACGACGGGUAGCUGGUCUGAGAGGAUGGUCAGCCACACUGGAACUGAGACACGGUCCAGACUCCUACGGGAGGCAGCAGUGAGGAAUAUUGCGCAAUGUCCGAAAGGGUGACGCAGCGACGCCGCGUGGAGGAUGAAGGCCCUAUGGGUCGUAAACUCCUGUUGGGGAAGACGAAUGAUCAGCUAUACGCUGAUUUGACUGUAUUCCUCGAGGAAGCACCGGCUAACUACGUGCCAGCAGCCGCGGUAAUACGUAGGGUGCAAGCGUUGUCCGGAAUCACUGGGUGUAAAGGGUUCGCAGGCGGAUCUGCAAGUCGUUGGUGAAAUUCCGGGGCUCAACUCCGGCGCUGCCAAUGAUACUGUGGAUCUUGAGUGUAAGAGAGGAAGGCGGAAUUCCUGGUGUAGCGGUGAAAUGCGUAGAUAUCAGGAAGAACACCGGUGGCGUAGGCGGCCUUCUGGCUUACCACUGACGCUCAGGAACGAAAGCGUGGGGAGCAAACAGGAUUAGAUACCCUGGUAGUCCACGCCCUAAACGAUGGAUACUCGGUGUUGGGUCGCAAGACUCGGUGCCUAAGCUAACGCAUUAAGUAUCUCACCUGGGAAGUACGACCGCAAGGUUGAAACUCAAAGGAAUUGACGGGGGCCCGCACAAGCGGUGGAGCAUGUGGUUUAAUUCGAUGCAACGCGAAGAACCUUACCUAGGCUUGAAAGGCAAGUGCCAGGCUAUGAAAGUAGCCCUCCCCGCAAGGGGCACUUGUACAGGUGCUGCAUGGCUGUCGUCAGCUCGUGCCGUGAGGUGUUAGGUUAAGUCCUGCAACGAGCGCAACCCCCGUUCUUAGUUGCCAUCGGGUCAAGCCGGGCACUCUAAGAAGACUGCCUGCGCAAGCAGUGAGGAAGGAGGGGACGACGUCAAGUCAUCAUGGCCCUUACGCCUAGGGCUACACACGUGCUACAAUGGCGCUUACAAUGGGAUGCAAGGCCGCAAGGUGGAGCAAAUCCCAAAACAGCGCCUCAGUUCGGAUUGAGGGCUGCAAUUCGCCCUCAUGAAGCUGGAAUCGCUAGUAAUCGCGGAUCAGCACGCCGCGGUGAAUACGUUCCCGGGCCUUGUACACACCGCCCGUCAAGCCAUGGGAGCCGGGGGCACCCGAAGUCGCUACGCCAACCGUAAGGAGGUUAGCGCCGAAGGUGAAACCGGUGACUGGGGCUAGUGUAACAAGGUA